CAUCCAGCCACAAAGGGCAUUCGUGACCUGCGCAUGUGGGUGGAGAAAUUGUGCUAAGGUCCUUUCUAUCUUCGGCACUACAGAUACUUGCGGAGCUGAAGCUUACGCCAUCCACGCUAAAGCUGAUCGGCAUUUAUGAGCUCCUCCGCAUUUCGAAUCACAGAUCGCGCAUUUAUCAUUCCUCUGCGCCUUGCUUCUGAUUUCUCUGUCUAGCCCACUACAGGCCUCUGUUUACGCAUUUCUUCAACCGGUCGCGCAUUUCUUCCACCGGUCACACAUUUCUCCCACUCUAGUCAUCAUACAUUCUUACAACAUAUCGAUAGCAGACAUGACUCCAGACGCUAUUUCUAAAACGCCAUGCUCAUUCUUGUCGAUUUUCCUCCCGUUCCCGUCCACUUGUCCCCCGAAUGCCUCCAAAUCGUCCGACACCGCACCCGACACAGCGAAUAAACACAUCCGCGAGAUCUUAUCGCUCUACAAACAGCUGUCCAGCUUCUCGUCUCUCGAACCAAGGGACGAAGUGAAUACGGUGUUCGGAAAAUUGGUGGAAUUGUGUAUCACAACGCUGUCGGAUGAUGCUCUUGUUGUUAAGAUUCUCAAAGACCCCCGCAUAUCCUCCAUCACGCCGCAUCUCCGUACGCUCUGCUCGACAGGUGAAUGUGCGCUCGAAUCGCACUGGGCGAACGUCCUCCUCACCCCGACCUCUGCCGCCGCAAUCCCACUGUCGUCCUUCCCAUACUACCAGAAUUAUCUCGACCUCUCGCGCCUGGAACUCAAUGCCCUGCUCUCCAUCAACCCCACCCCACCCACUACCAUCGCCUUCCUGGGAUCUGGCCCUCUGCCACUCACGUCGAUUUGUCUAGCCAAGCUUCUACACCCCACGACGCCCGCGCUGAAAAUCCUCAACGUUGACUAUGAUGCCGCGGCCAUCAACAUAUCCGCGCGACUGUGUGCCAACCUGCCUGCUCCACAAGGCGAGGUGCAAAAAUUCCUGUGCGCGUCCGCAACCGAUGUCGGCACGGACCUGACGACGUUCGAUGUAGUGUACGUAGCGGCAUUAGUGGGGAUGAGUGUGGAGGAUAAGGAGGAGGUGGUGAGAAGCGUGGUGAAGAAGAUGAAAAGGGGAGCACUGGUGGUCCUACGAAGUGCGCACUCGCUGCGGGGCUUGUUGUAUCCGGUGGUGGAUGUGGCAGGCCUGGAGAGGCUCGGCCUGAAGGUGGAGGUCGUGGUGCAUCCAUGGAACAGGGUCGUCAAUAGUGUUAUUGUAGCCAGGGUUGCCAUCGGGUCCUGUUAACUAAUAGUAGUGGAGCCUGGUGCUGCUACCUCUACUACUCACUGACUCGAUCUUACUACUGAUUAACCCAAGGAAACAAACACCUCGGCGCUGCUGGUGCGUGGGGGAAGUUCUCUGGCACCGCUGCAGCAGCCUUGUCUUCUACUAAGACUACUACUACUACUACUACUUCUGCAGCAGCAGCAGCAGCAGCAGCAGGUACGUGGGUUUGCACGUGUUGCUAGCUCUCUAACAUAUCAAUUAGAAUUCUAACUUAGACGAUAUCCAUUAGUUGUUUGUUACUCUCCCUGUGGACAAUAAUGUUGGGACGUUUUCAACACUUCGUUCAUUCGGUUGCUGGUGCCCCUCCAUGCAUCCUGCGGAGAGGGUUUACGUUGCAAUCUGAGUUGAGGUGCACAUAUUCCUGCGGUGGGUCUCAACGGUGUCUCUCCGGCCGCACCUUGCUCCAGUUCUCGUCACUGCUCAAGCUGGCUGGACUCAAAGCUCCCCGGUGCUCUUCCAUGCAGAUGCUUCUCACAGCCCCCCCCCCCCCACCAACACGGCGUCGCUGGAGGUCAUGACUGGAAGAGCAAAGCCAAAAUGGACCGUGCUGUAGAAGACGAGCUCGCCACUCUCAAUGGUUUGCUCCGUUAUCGCUGUUCUCACUGCAGUUAGGAACAGUGCUUGUCAGUACAGCACCACUAACACCCACUAAAUUAUGAAAGUAACAAAAACCUAACUCAUUAACAUGUACGUUGUGAUGAACAACUCUCAUUCCAACUCUUCUGUACUAAUUGUUGAAUGUAGAAACUAGCUUUUCCUGCUCAAGCAUUCAAUACUCUAAAGCCGUUCGUAGGUUGUCGGAGCUUUCAACAAGCUAAACUAUUCCUCCACAACAACGGCAUUAUCUGUAGGGUUUUAGGUCCACUGUCAUCAAAACGUUCAAUAGCUAGUUGAACAUCACCUCAAAGCGCAUCAGUGAGACUCUACGUUACAAUUUAAUGUAUUUGAAUCAAUAGAUACUACAGGUCGGCAUCCUAUUUUGUAUAGUUCACUCUCACAUCACUCUUCAAAACUAUACAAUAAAUGACCUUGCAUUUA